rnacentral:rRNA from 1 species
CCUACGGGUGGCAGCAGUGAGGAAUAUUGGUCAAUGGGCGCAAGCCUGAACCCGCAAAGUCGCGUGAGUGAAGAAGGUCCUAUGGAUUGUAAACCUCUUUUGUAGGGGAGCAAAAGACGCCACGCGUGUCGUUCCGAGAGUACCCGAAGAAAAAGCAUCGUCUAACUCCGUGCCAGCAGCCGCGGUAAUACGGAGGAUGCGAGUGUUAUACGGAUGUAUUGGGUGUAAAGGGUGCGCAGGCGGAAGAUAAUGUCAGCGGUAAAAUUGAGAGGCUCAACCUCUUCGAGCCGUUGAAACUGGUUUUCUUGAGUGAGUGAGAAGUAUGCGGAAUGCGUGGUGUAGCGGUGAAAUGCAUAGAUAUUACGCAGAACUCCGAUGGCGAAGGCAGCAUACCGGCGCUCAACUGACGCUCAUGCACGAAAGUGAGGGUAUCGAACAGGAUUAGAUACCCCUGUAGUC